rnacentral:tRNA from 1 species
AUCUAGGUGGCACAAUGGAUAGAGCACUGUACUUGCAAUCAGAAAGACUCAACCUCAUGAGUUCAAAUCUCAUCUCAGAUA